rnacentral:lncRNA from 1 species
GCCAUUGAUCGUUUGACUUAGAUUCAACGUCUCAAAGUAUUUUUUUUUGAGUUUUUUUCUACAAAUUAUGUGAAUAUGAAAUCUGGUACGUGUUAUCAUAUCAAUGGGGUGCACCUAAAAAAAUAUUAAAAAUAAUUUAUAUAUAAAAUAUAAUGACCAAAAUACCCCUUAAAAAUUUUAGGGAUAUUUUGGUCAUUUUAUUUAUUAAUAACAUUUUAUAUAUAUAUUUUUACAGGUGCUACUUUAAAGAGAGGAAUGGACGCUCAAAAUUUGGUGUCAAUAUAGUUUGUAAAAAAAAUUUAAAAUGAAAUAGUGUAGAAUCGUGGCAUUGUGAUUGGGGUCAUCUAGUCAAAAUUGACGGUUGGAUAGGGGAAUCAUAUGAGUUUUAUGCACUAGGGGAAGCAUAGAAAGCCUACUCAUGUAGGGGUACUUUGAAAUUAAAUCAAAAUAUAUAAAUAUAGGGAAAAGUUUAAAUAAGUGAGAGGCUCUAAGCAAUAAAAUUAGAGUGUACAACAAAAAUUUCACUAGAAGAUGUUUUAAUGCCCAAAUAUCCUCAAACUGAUCAUCU